rnacentral:lncRNA from 1 species
UAUUAGUUAUCAAUGGACCUUUGUUCAUUUAUUUGUUUAUAUGUGGUGCUGAGAAUUGAACCCAGUGCCUCACACAUGCUAGGCAAGCGCGCUACCACUGAGCCACAAUCUCAGCCCAUAAAUUCAUUUUUUAAGGAAAUGUCCUUUUUCUGAUAGCCCGCAGAGAUUUGCCUUUUGAAUGUGCCCGCCUACAGGAUUUUUAGUUUUUAGUUUCUCUGAGCGUCUCCACCACUUUUGUUCUCUUGGUCCAGCUCAGCCCAGUCCUUACUGGGGUCAGGAGGGCACCCUGGGCAGAUGCAGCACCCCUCUGCUCCCCAUACCCUUUCAUAGACAUCCUGUAUGGGGUGAGGGACAAGGGAAAGUAGCAGGUCCAACUUGGUUAAGCACGGUGGUGAGAACCCACACGUUAGGAAUUUAAAGUCCUCUACACCAACCAUUAGACUUCUGAAUUUGCAAUAAGUAAAAAUGAAAGGCCUGAGUACUUCAGUGUUGAAUCAGUCCAAUCACAAAAAUAAUCAAACAGCAGAAAUAAACACAGAGCCUCUUCCCAUAUGUAGUAAGUGCUUUGCUGGGCUUUGUGUUCCUGCCAUGAUGCUCUGUCUCACCACAGGCCCAAAGCAAUGGGGCCAAUUAAUUAUGAGCUCAAACCCCCCAAAUUCUGAACCCAAAUAAACUUUUUUUCUUAUAAAUUAAUUGUCUCAGGUAUUUCAUCAUGGUGUUGGAAAACCAACUAAUAUAAGCAGAAAGGGGGACAGGAGAAAAUCAAGGGAGGACCUUGUUUUCAAAGAAGAUGAAACCCUGGAGGCAGGAAGUGCUUCCAGUGCCCAAGGAGUCAGGCCCUGGGAAGCAGGUCUGUGCUUCAGGUUGCUUUCUCUGCCCCCGAAUCUUGACAUUAUCCUUGACUUUGUCUCCAGGUUCUGCUUCAGCAUCUUUAUUCCAAAGAAACAAGGCUUUUAAAAACAUUUUCAUAGGCCCUGGCUUGCUUACUAUGAGAAGGCAAACACAUUAGAAUGCAGCUACUUUCCAAAUUAAGUAGGAUUUUUUUGGUAAAUACUUUUGAUGGGAUGUUAUAUUGAAUCAUAUGAAAUUGCCAUUUAGCAAGGUCGACAAAUGGCCUGAUAUUUAGCAAUUUCAUAUGGUUCAACCUAAUGACUUUGCUUUUGAAAUCGUUUGGCCAUAAGUGCUGCAUUUAAUUUACAGUUUGCUAUGAUUUCUCAGCAACCAUUAUGGAAUUUAUAUGAAAAGAAAAUUCUAACCUACAGAUUGUGAUUAGAGAUAAUGAUAUUAUAAAUGUUCAUGAAUACCACAUUUAACAAUUAAUGGAGUUGACAUAAUGUGGCAUCUCUAAACAUUCC